AUCCAUCUGACGAGUCCCAAAUAGGAUGAAACGAGCGUCCUGAUGUAU
rfam:Schistosoma mansoni, Puerto Rico, WGS project CABG01000000 data, contig: 0178